GCAGUCGAACGGUAACAGGAAAUAGCUUGCUAUUUUGCUGACGAGUGGCGCACGGGUGCGUAACGCGUAUACAAUCUACCUUUUGCUGAGGGAUAGCCCAGAGAAAUUUGGAUUAAUACCUCAUGGUAUUAUUGAUAGGCAUCUAUUAAUAAUUAAAGGUUACGGCAAAAGAUGAGUAUGCGUCCCAUUAGCUAGUUGGUGAAGUAACGGUUCACCAAGGCAACGAUGGGUAGGGGUCCUGAGAGGGAGAUCCCCCACACUGGUACUGAGACACGGACCAGACUCCUACGGGAGGCAGCAGUGAGGAAUAUUGGACAAUGGGCGAGAGCCUGAUCCAGCCAUGCCGCGUGCAGGAAGACUGCCCUAUGGGUUGUAAACUGCUUUUAUACAGGAAGAAUAAGCCUUACGUGUAAGGUGAUGACGGUACUGUAAGAAUAAGGACCGGCUAACUCCGUGCCAGCAGCCGCGGUAAUACGGAGGGUCCGAGCGUUAUCCGGAAUUAUUGGGUUUAAAGGGUCCGUAGGCGGAUGAUUAAGUCAGGGGUGAAAGUUUGCAGCUCAACUGUAAAAUUGCCUUUGAUACUGGUCAUCUUGAGUUGUAUUGAAGUA
rnacentral:rRNA from 1 species